ACUUCUGUGGUAGAGAGGCUCUUACAUUCGGCUGAUAACCGAAAGACGUUGGUUCGAAUCCAACCAGAAGUACCA
rnacentral:tRNA from 2 species